UCGGAAUAGUUUUAAAGAUUGACAUGAAUAAUAUAAAUUUAAUUUGAUGGAUAAUAGACAAUGAGUUAUAGACUACUAAAUAAUGAAUGGUGAGCUGGUUAUUUUUUAACUUAUACAAUAAUGUAUAAAUAGUGUAAAUAAUAAAGAAAAGUGAAAAUUGUUAAAUUAUAUCCAAGAAAUGGCAUUGAAAAACUUUUUAUUUGAAUUAGAACUUAAUUCAUUAGAUGACUCUGUUUCUUUAAAUUCUCAUUAUUAAAGGCUUUCAAUAUUACUAAUUAUCUAAAAAUCGUAAGUGUUAUUUUAUUUUAGGUGAGUUUUAAUAGUUCUCCUUGUUAAUUAUAGUAUAAAAUAUAUUUUUUGUAUUUUUAUUCUUUUAGCUUCGACGCGAAGCUAAGAAGUUAUUAAUUUUACUAUGUUGUAUUUUUAAAA